CUAUUACAAAAUGUAUGGUGAAGUGUAUUUUAAUGCUCUAUCUUUGUGAAGCACUUUCAGAUUUUUUUUAAAGAUUUUGUAGCAUUAGUGGUCUUUAUGCAGAGUAAUCUUGCAGAAAACAGAGAGAGAUGUGUAGGAAAUCUCCCAAGAUAGCUGAGUGAAGCUAACACCCCACCUACAUGAAUAAUUCCGGUAAAUAGACAGAAUGGUUGGUGCUUCGUUUGUGCAGGUUUGUGCUGUUAAAACUGUUGUUUGUGCUGCUUUUGUUUCUGUGAUAUUAUGAAUUAUAAUUUCGGCCAAUGACGUCACUGUCAUAAUGAGUUUAAGGCAGGACUCAAAUGCAGGAUUGAGUGGAGUUGAAGAAAGGUUUUUAACGGCAAAAAUAAACUUACAGUUGACCAAGGCACAGGAACUCAGGCGGGUGAACAACAUAAACAGGAUGAACGCAGGAGCAAGAAAAUCCGGGCAACAGACAUUGAAGAACUCAUGGCAAAGACAUAGGCUGAGUAUGACUCCAGUGGUGACAGAAAAACUUGUCCAGUCCAAUAUCUGCAAUGCUUCCACUGUGAGUGUGACAAAAUCAGUUAGGUGGCUUGGCUCGGAAUCUCCAACAUCCAUCAGAUCUACUGCCUUUGCUGACCUCCAUACAGCUGGUUCCAUGGUGCCAUCACACAGCCCUUAUGCAGGUUUCCAGGCAGUAACCACUUGGAAUGGCCGGUGGCCAUGGAGAUAUCUGUGUUUUCUGUUAGAAUUUUCUUAAAGUUACCUGUGUCUCUUUACUUCACUUUCUCUUCUGCUCUCGGUGGGGUCAAAUGCUUUUUCACUCUCUCUUUGAUCCACCCCCAUUUUUUGCCCUGCUUCAGCUUUUUGUCUAUGUUUUUCUUAGAACCUCUGUUCGCAUAUUCUCCUAAUUUGUUCAUUAUGGAUUUGGUCAGCUGGUCUCUCAACUCAAUCGAUCAAAUCUUCCCGACGGUAAGACAGGGUAAAGGGGAACCCUCUUGUCCAGACGGGACGUUCUUCUCCGGAUACGCAAUGGAUUCCUGGCAGCAGUGGAAUAUUAUGUGCCUGACAACA